AAUGAACGCUGGCGGCAGGCCUAACACAUGCAAGUCGAACGGAUCCUUCGGGAUUAGUGGCGGACGGGUGAGUAACGCGUGGGAACAUACCCUUUGGUACGGAAUAGCCUCGGGAAACUGGGAGUAAUACCGUAUGUGGUCGAGAGACGAAAGAUUUAUCGCCAAAGGAUUGGCCCGCGUUGGAUUAGGUAGUUGGUGGGGUAAUGGCCUACCAAGCCGACGAUCCAUAGCUGGUUUGAGAGGAUGAUCAGCCAUACUGGGACUGAGACACGGCCCCGACUCCUACGGGAGGCAGCAGUGGGGAAUCUUAGACAAUGGGGGAAACCCUGAUCUAGCCAUGCCGCGUGAUCGAUGAAGGCCUUAGGGUUGUAAAGAUCUUUCAGGUGGGAAGAUAAUGACUGUACCACCAGAAGAAGCCCCGGCUAACUCCGUGCCAGCCGCCGCGGUAA
rnacentral:rRNA from 1 species